rnacentral:rRNA from 1 species
UACGAAGGGGGCUAGCGUUGCUCGGAAUCACUGGGCGUAAAGCGCACGUAGGCGGAUCUUUUAAGUCAGGGGUGAAAUCCUGGAGCUCAACUCCAGAACUGCCUUUGAUACUGGGGAUCUCGAAGUCCGGGAGAGGUGAGUGGAACUGGCGAGUGUAGAGGUGAAAUUCGUAGAUAUUCGCAAAGAACACCAGUGGCGAAGGCGGCUCACUGGCCCGGUACUGACGCUGAGGCACGAAAGCGUGGGGAGCAA